UACGAGUACCCCAAGCGUUAUCCGGCAUUAUUGGGCGUAAAGGGUAUGUAGGUUGUUGUGUUAGUCUCUUGUCAAAGCCUCCGGCUCAACCGGAGAAUUGCGGGGGAAACGGCACAACUAGAGGGCGCGAGAGGUUUGCGGAACUCAUGGUGUAGGGGUGAAAUCCGUUGAUAUCAUGGGGAACACCAAAAGCGAAGGCAGCAAACUGGCGCGUUUCUGACGCUGAAAUACGAAAGCGUAGGUAGCGAAUGGG
rnacentral:rRNA from 1 species